rnacentral:rRNA from 1 species
GAUGAACGCUGGCGGUAUGCUUAACACAUGCAAGUCGAACGGUACCUUCGGGUAUAGUGGCGGACGGGUGAGUAACGCGUGAGAAUCUGUCUUCAGGUCGGGGACAACAGUUAGAAAUGACUGCUAAUACCGGAUGUGCCGAAAGGUAAAAGAUUUAUUGCCUGAAAGAGAGCUCGCGUCAGAUUAGCUAGUAGGUGGUGUAAGAGACUACCUAGGCGACGAUCUGUAGCUGGUCUGAGAGGACGAUCAGCCACACUGGAACUGAGACACGGUCCAGACUCCUACGGGAGGCAGCAGUGGGGAAUUUUUCCGCAAUGGGCGAAAGCCUGACGGAGCAAUACCGCGUGAGGGACGAAGGCUUUUUGGGUCGUAAACCUCUUUUCUCAAGGAAGAUUUAGACGGUACUUGAGGAAUAAGCAUCGGCUAACUCUGUGCCAACAGCCGCGGUAAU